CCGCCGAAUGGCAGCCUCCAGAAAGCCGCCGCGAGUAAGGGCAAAUCACCAGGAUUUUCAGCUGAGAAAUUUAAGAAUAAUUGAACCUAACGAGGUGACACACUCAGGAGACACAGGUGUGGAAACAGACAGCAGAAUGCCUCCGAAGGUGACUUCAGAGCUGCUUCGGCAGCUGAGACAAGCCAUGAGGAACUCUGAGUAUGUGACUGAACCGAUCCAGGCCUACAUCAUCCCAUCGGGGGAUGCUCAUCAGAGUGAGUAUAUUGCUCCAUGUGACUGUCGGCGGGCUUUUGUCUCUGGAUUCGAUGGCUCUGCGGGCACAGCCAUCAUCACAGAAGAGCAUGCAGCCAUGUGGACUGACGGGCGCUACUUUCUCCAGGCUGCCAAGCAAAUGGACAGCAAUUGGACACUUAUGAAGAUGGGUCUGAAGGACACACCAACUCAGGAAGACUGGCUGGUGAGUGUGCUUCCUGAAGGAUCCAGGGUUGGUGUGGACCCCUUGAUCAUUCCUACAGGCAUCUCCUGGAAGGACAAGGUUGCAGAUCUUCGGUUGAAAAUGGCUGAGAGGAACGUCAUGUGGUUUGUGG
rnacentral:sRNA from 1 species